rnacentral:rRNA from 1 species
GACGUAGGGUGCGAGCGUUGUCCGGAUUUACUGGGCGUAAAGAGCUCGUAGGCGGCUUGUUGCGUCGACUGUGAAAACCCGCGGCUUAACCGCGGGCUUGCAGUUGAUACGGGCAGGCUAGAGUUCGGUAGGGGAGACUGGAAUUCCUGGUGUAGCGGUGAAAUGCGCAGAUAUCAGGAGGAACACCGAUGGCGAAGGCAGCUUACUGGGCCGAUACUGACGCUGAGGAGCGAAAGCGUGGGGAGCGAACAGG